rnacentral:rRNA from 1 species
UACAGAGGUCCCAAGCGUUGUUCGGAUUCACUGGGCGUAAAGGGUGCGUAGGCGGUCGGGUAAGUCUGAUGUGAAAUCUCACAGCUUAACUGUGAAACUGCAUUGGAUACUAUUCGGCUUGAGAGUUGGAGGGGGGACUGGAAUUCUUGGUGUAGCAGUGAAAUGCGUAGAUAUCAAUAGGAACACCAGUGGCGAAGGCGAGUCCCUGGACAACUUCUGACGCUGAGGCACGAAAGCGUGGGGAGCAAACAGG